rnacentral:rRNA from 2 species
AGCUAGUUGGUGAGGUAACGGCUCACCAAGGCGACGAUGCGUAGCCGACCUGAGAGGGUGAUCGGCCACACUGGGACUGAGACACGGCCCAGACUCCUACGGGAGGCAGCAGUAGGGAAUCUUCCGCAAUGGACGAAAGUCUGACGGAGCAACGCCGCGUGAGUGAUGAAGGUUUUCGGAUCGUAAAGCUCUGUUGUUAGGGAAGAACAAGUGCCGUUCAAAUAGGGCGGCACCUUGACGGUACCUAACCAGAAAGCCACGGCUAACUACGUGC